CAUUCGAGACUUUGAACCCACUCUCAGAAGAUAUCUGCAUGAUUCCUCUUAAGAAGCUGAAGAGUUUGCCUUCUGGAUUUACUUUGAUGACAGUUGCAUUUUUGGUGUAGAAUUUAUCAAGGUUAUCACUGUGAAAACAACAGAUACUACUUCAGAAAACCUGUAUAUUCAGCAGAGCAACACCUUUGAUGACCAUGGAGUGUAUACUUGGAUUAUUGAAGGCUUCACCACACCUCAGACCCCAUGCAACUCUCCAACAUUUGUAACUGGCGGAUACAGAUGGUAUCUAAGUAUCAAGACAUCUAACAUGGAUGUGGAUGGCAGCACGAAUUUUCUCUCUCUGUUCCUGCAUCCGUAAGAUAUGCUCCCCAGAAAUCAUGGAAUACUGGUAGAAGUCAGCUUUUCUCUCAUGGACCAAGCAAAUGGCAACCACAGGAAGUUCAGAGGAAUUGGCAGGGCAUGUGGAUGGAGCAAACCUUCCAAGAUGCUCGGUUUAGGUGCGACUCUCCACCGUUUCCUGCGGCCGCAGCAGCGACGGCAAGCGGCUCUCCUCCUUGGAGCCUCAGGUGAGGCGACCCCGCGGCGAGCGGAGCAGCGACGGCGGGAGGGAGCUGCGGACAGCGCCACAGCGGCGGGGCGAUGAGGGGCGGCAACGAAGCUACUUGAUGCGGGGGAUGGCCGGCGGGGGAACUCGCCUUCUCUGCUCCUGGAGGCUCCGCCUCUGCCCCGCAUCCCCUGUUCCUGGAGGCCCCGACUCCUAUGCUCCUAUGUUUCGGACGGCUGGCGGGGAUGCGGGCUCACCGUUGACGUCGAGGGCGCGAGCCCAGCUCCGGAGCGGGACGGGGACGGAGCUCCGGCGCGGGACGGGGACAUCGGGAUCUUGAAUUUAUAUGUACAAGUGAUAUUUACUAGCUGAAUUUCUCAUCACAUCAUCGAUCCUCACAUGUCAAAUACAAUUUCUUUACUUUUUCCAUACAAGUAGUAGACUGAAAUUUGACGAGUCUUGCUCGAAGCAUUUGCUGCUGUAUGGUUUUUUAUAUGGUUUAAGUUAAACGAUGUGACAGCUUACAAACAGUUGGUGAGCACUGCUGGUUGUUAAGAUUAUUUGAGAGUUGGAGGAUAUGCUUCUUCAGGUAA